UACGUAGGGUGCAAGCGUUGUCCGGAAUUAUUGGGCGUAAAGAGCUCGUAGGCGGUUUGUCGCGUCUGCUGUGAAAACUGGAGGCUCAACCUCCAGCCUGCAGUGGGUACGGGCAGACUAGAGUGCGGUAGGGGAGAUUGGAAUUCCUGGUGUAGCGGUGGAAUGCGCAGAUAUCAGGAGGAACACCGGUGGCGAAGGCGGGUCUCUGGGCCGAUACUGACGCUGAGGAGCGAAAGCGUGGGGAGCGAACAGG
rnacentral:rRNA from 1 species